CAAAUUGAUAGUAUUCAUCAACAAUAAAAUACUUUAACAAUCAUAAGAUUUUCAUAUCAAAACAUUGAACUUUGCCAUAUGAACUUACCUGGACUAAUUAGCAAAAGUCGUAGAAAUUCAGUGACUAUUCUUGAAUUUUCUCCUUUCCACGAUUCAGUUCGUUUUCUUGAUCUAUAAUUAUAAAAUCAUUCCUUCAUUAGCAUCCAUUUCAAUUAUAUUUCACUUCACAAUUUAUGCUGUUCAAAUUUUGAAAUUGCA
rnacentral:lncRNA from 1 species